ensembl:lncRNA
CUGGAUCCUGGCUUCGGAUUGGCACAGCACUGGCCGUAGCGGCCAUUUGGGGAGUGAACCAACAGAAGGAAGACCUUUUUGUCUGUCUGUCUCACUGUCUGUAACUCUACCUGUCAAAUAAAUAAAUAAAAAUAUUAAAAAAAAAAGAAAACCCAGAAAUUCAUGGGCAUGCUUGCUCACAAGCAAGGCAGGCAGUAAAAGUGCAGCCUCUGCCUCACAUUCUCCAUGUGCUCUGCCCAAACCUGAGUCACACUGAUGGCCUUGGCAGCAAGAGGCCUGUUGGUUCCCCUGCACUGUGCUGGGGAUGCAAGGGGGCAGGACUCGAAAGAACUUUGGGAGCUGAUCUAUCCCAUCCCUGUACCUUCCGAAGCUUCCUAGUUGAUCAAGUGGCAAUGCUCCUAAGACUUCAAUUCUCUUCCCCUCAAGGGAAUCAAAGAAGCCUUUCCUUUGGUAGUGGAGCUGCCAAAUACCAGAGGGAAGCUGGCUCUGAGGUCAUCCUCACCCAGAACAGCUCCACCCUGAGGGUCGCCUUUCUCUGGACAGCACAUGUGGGGCUUUCAAUUCUGUACUCCUCUCUAAAUGCACUGUUUGCAGAGGAGAGAGCUAUAAGGAAAAGCAGUUACCAUGGUCAGUAAUAAAAGCAUCCCUUGAAAGGAUGAUGAUGACUCAGCAGAGCAGCAGGUGAUGACUUAACAGUUGAGUGUGGGCACAAGCAGAGCCUGUGGGCGCUGGUAGACCAGUGGGUCAUUCUGGGGAGGGCAGAAGACAUCUGGCUCAGAAUCAGUCUGAGGGUAUAAACAGGCACGUUUCUUCUCACUCCGAGGCACUUAGCAGAGCACUGCACCUGUGAUAGGGUCGAGUCUACACCACAGUCUUCAACACUGCUGGGACAUGAAUACUCUCAAGGAGUUCCACCUGUCGCCACAUCUCCUGGAAGUGGGCAAUGUGAGAAUGUGCACAGGGAGACCCGCAGCUCAGUGCCCGCUGCUGCUCCUCUGCCCUCUGCGGUCCUCGGAGACAGCUCCCCUUCCACCGGAGUGUGCACCCAACACGAACAAGCCUGCAAAGCCUUCCAAAGGGGACUAGAAGAGCUGAGUCAUCCACCUUGUCCGCCCCACUCCCUGCUCCUGGGGGAGCGGCUGAGCAACCUGGGACUCAUGGGGGUUGGAGGAGCCUGCUGGACACCAGGCAGUGGGAAAGAGGGAAACAAAGAUCUCACGCUUUUGAAAAGGAGAAAAGAUCCAGCCUUUGCCAACAGUUAAGAUGGAGAUGGUUAAGAAACCGCUCUUCGCUCGAAAGGAAAAACAAGGGUUCCAAGCUCCAUUUCCACAGGUUUGGCAGCAAGCUCCGCUUUUUGGGGUCAACAGCGCCACCUGGUGGCCUCAACCACAUGGCUGGCUGUCAUGCUGUGCAGACAGUUGCUUUUUUGUUAAAAAUGAGCCCAUUGGGGCCGGCACUAUGGCACAGGGGGUUAAUUCCCUGGUCUGAAGCGCCGGCAUCCCAUAUGGGUGCCGGUUCUAGUCCUGGCUGCUCCUCUUCAAUCCAGCUCUCUGCUAUGGCCUGGGAAAGCAGUAGAAGAUGGCCCAAGUCCUUGGGCUCCUGUACCCGCGUGGGAGACCUGGAAGAAGCUCCUGGAUCCUGGCUUUGGAUCGGCACAGCUCCAGCCAUUGUGGCCAUCUGGGUAAUGAACCAUCAGAUGGAAGACCUCUCUCUCUCUCUGCCUCUCCUUUCUCUGUGUAACUCUGGCUUUCAAAUAAAUAAAUAAAUCUUUAAAAACAAGUCUCAAGCAGGCCUCUUAAUAAAAUGAGCCCAUAAUUUCA